rnacentral:rRNA from 1 species
AGCGAACGCUGGCGGCAUGCCUAACACAUGCAAGUCGAACGAACUCUUCGGAGUUAGUGGCGGACGGGUGAGUAACACGUGGGAACGUGCCCUUUGGUUCGGAAUAACUCACGGAAACUUGUGCUAAUACCGAAUAUUCUCUUCGGGGGAAAGAUUUAUCGCCAUUAGAUGGGCCCGCGUCGGAUUAGCUAGUUGGUGAGGUAACGGCUCACCAAGGCGACGAUCAGUAGCUGGUCUGAGAGGAUGACCAGCCACACUGGGACUGAGACACGGCCCAGACUCCUACGGGAGGCAGCAGUGGGGAAUAUUGGGCAAUGGGCGAAAGCCUGACGCAGCCAUGCCGCGUGAAUGAUGAAGGUCUUAGGAUUGUAAAAUUCUUUCACCGGGGAUGAUAAUGACGGUACCGGGAGAAGAAGCCCCGGCUAACUUCGUG